UGGCGCACGGGUGCGUAACGCGUAUGCAACCUACCUUAAUCAGGGGGAUAGCCUCUCGAAAGAGAGAUUAACACCGCAUAAAAUCACAAGCUGGCAUCAGCAAAUGAUCAAAUAUUUAUAGGAUUAAGAUGGGCAUGCGUGACAUUAGCUAGUUGGUAAGGUAACGGCUUACCAAGGCUACGAUGUCUAGGGGAUCUGAGAGGAUGACCCCCCACACUGGUACUGAGACACGGACCAGACUCCUACGGGAGGCAGCAGUAAGGAAUAUUGGUCAAUGGGGGCAACCCUGAACCAGCCAUGCCGCGUGCAGGAAGACGGCCCUACGGGUUGUAAACUGCUUUUAUACGGGAAUAAACCUUUCUUCGUGAAGAGAGCUGAAUGUACUGUAAGAAUAAGGAUCGGCUAACUACGUGCCAGAAGUCUCGGUAAUACGUAGGGUGCAAGCGUUAUCCGGAUUUACUGGGCGUAAAGAGUGUGUAGGCGGUCUACCAAGUCGCAGCUUAAAUCCCGGGGCUCAACCCCGGUUCUGGUUGCGAUAC
rnacentral:rRNA from 1 species